rnacentral:lncRNA from 1 species
AUCGUGGGAGGGCACAGUGAUAUGAGACCCUGUCCUCUGAGCCAACUCCAAUGACAGCCGGGGAAAAACAGGGGACUGUGGCAGACCCAGAAAGAAAACUCCAGAGAUGGAAAACUAUGAUCCUUUGCACUAUGAAAUAAGCUAGAGCACAACUGAAUGUCUGCUUGGAACACACGACAUCCACAGAAACAUCUUUAAACACAGAAGGUCUUCUCCAAGCUCAUCUCUGGUGAUAGGACAACAGUGGGCCUCAAGCUUCUCCAGCCAGUAGCAGACCAGAUCUGGUUUCAACAAACUUGGAACUCUCCAAGCCCUUUCCUGCUGUGAACUGAUUUAUUUGGAUCCAUCUGUCAGAGCGUGACUGAAGAGUGUCCGGCCAGCUAGCAGCCCAGCUGCAGCAGAUGUUGUCUCAGAAUGCCCUGCGAGGUGAGGCUCAUAUGGAUUUUACCUGCCCGUUCCACUUGUUCUCCUUUUGCCCUCCUGGGAAAGAGUUGGAAAGGGGUUGAGAACAUCUGCAUGACCCAUGAGAACCAGGAAAGUUAACAGGGCAUCUUGGGGGCCACAGAGCACUAAGGAGGCAGGCGUGCUGGUGCAGCAAAUGGCGGUGACCCUGGCUCUAGCCUAUGAUUGUACAUAUAAA